GGAAAUAGAAACAGAAUGAAACGAAACAGAGAGCAGAGGAGAAAAAGAAAGAAAGAAAGGGAGAAAAGAGAAAAUUUAAGGUUUGAAGCUUUAAGCUUUAAUAGUCAAUGUGGUACCGGAAAUCUCGGCUAAGAAAGGACAAGACAAAGUCAACGGGAGUUAGCUCAAAAAUUACGGUUAAGUAAAGAUAGUACGUUGAAUCAGUAUCCCAGGACAAUCCCGAAUUCAUUAAGUGUCACCAAGCUAGCUCAGGAUCGGAGAUCGUCGGAGAUCUAUUCACAUUAUCAACCAUUAUUUUGGGUACCAUUGAAAGUUAAUAUUUUGAGUUAUGGCAUGUAUAGAGACUUGGUUAUUUUGUUAUAUGUGUCAUGGUUAAUUUAGUCAUUGUGUUGGCUUAUAAUGGUUUAUGAUUCAUUUUGUAUAUAGCCAUGAAAGUUGGCUAAUAUUGGUAAUGAUCCCAUUCUUAUGUUGAUGUUUAUGUGAUUAUAAAAUUAGUAUGAUUUGAAUGGGUAAGUUGAUGUUAUAAGCAAGAA